GCAUAAUCGGCCUUCAAAUCCGGUUGGGGGUGUCAGACGCUCCCGGGUCAGUUCGACUCUGGCUGCCUUCCGCCA
rnacentral:tRNA from 1 species